UAAUACGUAGGGUGCGAGCGUUAAUCGGAAUUACUGGGCGUAAAGUGUGCGCAGGCGGCGUUGCAAGUCGAGUGUGAAAGCCCCGGGCUUAACUUGGGAAUUGCGCUCGAAACUACGAUGCUGGAGUAUGGCAGAGGAAGGUGGAAUUCCACGUGUAGCGGUGAAAUGCGUAGAGAUGUGGAGGAACACCGAUGGCGAAGGCAGCCUUCUGGGCCAAUACUGACGCUCAUGCACGAAAGCGUGGGGAGCAAACAGGAUUAGAUACCCUGGUAGUCCACGCCCUAAACGAUGAUGACUAGUUGUUGGAGGAGUUAAAUCCUUUAGUAACGCAGCUAACGCGUGAAGUCAUCCGCCUGGGGAGUACGGUCGCAAGAUUA
rnacentral:rRNA from 1 species